UUGCAGUAACCAAGCAUCAGACAAGAGGCGAUUAUCUGAACCAUCUAAUGCUAGAGGUGGAGAGUUACCCUCUAUGCGCCCUGUGCCACCGUUCAUGGGAAGCACCACAUCAGAUCGAGGAGUACCACGCCCAAGACAUGUCUGAAAGGGUCUCGUCUAUCGCACUGUCACAGCAUGCUCAUUUAUCGGGUUGUUCACAUCGGUGUGAAUGAUACUCAUAAAUCUGAUGUUCAUCACUUUUAUUAAUUGGAUGGUGGACAUAUCACAUUUUGAAAGGCCAUAACUUUUGCACAUCACUUGAUGUUAUGUAGUUGUUUUUGUAGUGGCAAGAUAGAAAUUAUUGUACUAUUAGGGCUUGUAAGGCUUUAGAGGCAAUUUUUUUAAAAGAAGUGUGUUUCAGUCAUUUCAGAAAGCCGAAGUAUCAAAUUUGAGUUUGAGUGCAUAUGCCUUUCGUUGAUUAUGUCAUCAAUUAAAUAUUGGACAUUUUUCACGGAUAUAAUUAGAUGAUAAAUUAAUGCUCUGUCCCUCCCACAAGAUUAUCAGUGGUCAAUUUAUGAUCAUUUGAUUGUGUGUCAACCCAAUGAUAAUAAUUAUUAUGAUAAUUAUAAUAAUAAUAAUAAUGAUGAGCCACAAGAUCCUCAAAUUCUGGCUUUCUUCAUGUUUAAAUUCCCCAAAACUCAUAGGGAAGGUGAGAUUUUGAUCCUGCCUGGACCUACCUUGUGGAACUUGCUUCCACAGGGUCUUAAAAUUCAUACUCUGUUAUUUCAUUUCAGGGCAACCUGAACACUUGGUUGUUUCAACAUACCUUUGAAUGAUAGUUUGCUAUCUCUCAUCCUCCUCUUCCCCCUCCUCUUCCUUCUCCUCCUUCUCCUCCACCUCCUUCUCCUCUUCCUUCUCCUUCUUUUCUCUCUCUCUCUUUAUCCCUCUCCCUCUCACUGUCUUAACAUGCCUUGAGAAUUUUUAUAGUGGAAAUGGCCCCAUAGAAAUAUUAUUAUUGAUUGAUUUAUGUUAUUUGUCAGGUAUAAUAUAACAGGUACAAGUAUAAUAUAAAGUAUCAAAAUGCCACAACAGGAUAAUAUGAAAGCUGACAUGGCUUAUUUCCAAGGGGGUUCUUAAGCAUAUUUUAUUAUUGUUGGUGGUGGUGUUGGUAUUGUUGAUAUUACUAUAUAAUUUAUAACUAAAGUAAUGUGUUUGGUCUUUGUUAAUAUUCAUAGCUUGAUAGACAUUUUAAAAGGUUUGUGCAGGGUUAGAAUAGUCACCUUGGUACGAUUAGAAAUUAAUAUAUGCCUUCGCUUGCCACAUUAGAAGGCUGAAUGAUGUUAGCUUACAGUACUAGUGCAAUGAAUGUUUAUUAUUGGUAUUUAUUGUAAUAAUGUAGUAUAUAUUUCAUUAAUUUUUAUUUUGCUCAGUGGGUUUAAGGGAGAUGUGAAAUUAUGAGACAUGCUUCUUUACUUUCUUUUAGGCAUUUUUCCAAGGGAAUCAUGAAUUGAAUCGUAAGUUAAAUAAUCUUAUGAAACAUAAAUUUUGUGAUUUUAGUGACAGAAUUUCUGGACAGAUAAAGUGCAUCUGAAAAGAUUCUUAGAUUUUUGUUAAUUUUACAAGAAAAAAAUCAUCAAAAAGUUGAAAAUUGUCUUUUAAUCGCCAUUUAAAGGUGAGAUGGGUAUGACUUUAAAUUGAGUUAGAAACAUAUUUCAAAAUGUUUACAUCAAUGCCUUGUUGUGAUAAGUGAAUUUGAAUAGAAAGUAAAUAGUGAUGAUACAUUGUAUUCAUAUUUAUUCAUUUUACAUUUUGAUUAAUUUGAUGUCACGAAGAAUGUAUUCAAUCAUCAAUGUCAAAACAUAUCUUAGUUUUGGUAAAUCCCCUCAAAGUAAAUGUCAUUAUACAAUUUCAUUACAAGAUUAUAUUAGUGCUUGUGCCCCAAAACAGUAAUGGUCUAAAGGAUUUACACCAAAAAUAUGUUUUAUCGGAUAAAUUAACUGUUUUACAUCAGAAUUUGAUUUGAAGUUGGGUGCCCGAUCAAAAUAGAAUAUCCUUGUGUUUCUGUUAUGUUCAUAUAAAACACCUUCUCAAGCAUGGGAUGGGCUGAAAAAUUCAGGAUAUAAGCUUUGUCAUUAGCUUUCUUAUAUUCAAUUACUUCCUAUGUAAAGCAAUUAAGUGCUCAAACUGUUGUUUUAAAUAAAAAUAAAAACAUUACCGAGAAAGGACACUACAUUUCUAAAAUUAACAUCCUAAUGGCCGGAAAAAAUGCUUCAUUUAAAUUCUAAUGGGUUAAAAAUGCAAAAUGCUCAGUGACUACUGAGCUUUUUUAAUAUUGUAAUGUUCAAUGAUGCUCGAGUAUAUACUGUAUAUAUCACACUACUAACCCUUUGCCAUAGCUAUGGACAGCUAUAUGAGGACGAAUUGUAUGUUUGCUAUUCAUGUGUAGUAUUAUCAUUUUUGUAUAUCAUUAUAUCAACAUUGAUCUGUUUAAACUGUGUGACACCUGCUUACCACAAAAGUAUUCACUCUGUUGACUAUCAUGUAAAAGUAUAUUGUAGAGUUGUUGUGGCGCAGUGGAUAAAUCUCCAUAAGGUCUGGGAUUCAAAUCCCACCUCAGUACUUAAAAUACAUAUCCUUUGCCACUCUCUCCACCCGGGCAGAUUGAACUGGUACCUGGUAGGAAUCCCUUGAAUGCUUGAUCACCCGAUCAGGGUAGCCAAGCUAAUCAAGGAUUGGGUAAUCGUAUGCAGUGAUUAAAAACACUGUUGCAUACCAUAAUUGUUUUUUUUUAUGUAUUUAUAUAUCGAUUGAGUAGAAGAAAUAACAAGUUGUCUCACGAUGUAUCAAACGUAGACAACUGGUUAUUUCUUCUACUCCAUCCUUCACCACGAUGAACCUCUUCCACAUCAUAUUUAUAUAUCAUUUGCAAAUUGAUCAUAUGGAGUACAGUAACAUGUUCAGUAUAAUUUGUGAAAACAUCUCAGUUCAGUUUGUACAACUUAAUAUAUCUCUAUGAAACAACUGUAGAACCAGAAGAUAAUGUGUGUAGUGAUCAUGUUAAGAACUAUAAAACAUUUUCUUGAAGCCAUUGCAACAGAUCGGCAUGAUAUAAGACAUUAUAAAACAAAGUGGAUCCUCCUCAAAUGUUGGGUUGCAUGGUCAUGUGACCAGGUAUUUAAUUUGUCUAUUGCAUGGAUUCACUUAUGACUGGUGAUGAGCAGUCAUAAGAAAAGUCUUAUGACUGAGCAUGGUUUUGGGAUGGAGGAUCUACUAUCAAAUAAUCAACCAUUUAAAGCGGCAUAUCCAACCCAAAUAAAAACUAGUUUUUAAAGGAAAAAGAACAAGACAAGUUUAUAGGCGACAGUUUGAACGAUACCGGACAAACAAUAAGAAAGAUGUGAAUUUUUAAAAGUUGUGAAAAUUGGUAAUUGCUUCAAAUCAGCCGCAUAUAUGAGGUCAUAGUGAUGUAAUGCAAGGACUUAGAAUUAAAAUAUUUUCAUAUAAUAAAAUACAAAAGAAAUAGUGAGUGGAUGACGUUAUCAGUCUCCUCAUUUGCAUAUCAUCCAGGAUGUGCAUAUAACCGUUUUGUGAAAUUAAGCGGACGUUAAAAUGUCAUAACUUUCUUAUUUUACAUCUGAUUUUGAUGGAAUUUUCAAUGUUAUGCUUGUUGGAUUUUUCUCUUUUUAUUAAAAUAAACUUUUUUGUUGGGGUGGACUUGUCCUUUAAUCAAUGAAAUGGGGGGAGGGGUAGGUAUUCAAAGGAAUGCAAUAUUGGUCUCAGUGCUUACUGCAAACCAUUCCUGUUUAACAUGACUACAUGUAUUGUUGUAUUCAAUAAGAUUAAAUCUUUGCUGCUCCAACUGGAA